GCAUUGGUUGUUCAGUGGUAGAAUUCUUGCCUUCCACACAGGAUACCUGGGUUUGAUUCCCAGCUAAUGCA
rnacentral:tRNA from 1 species